CAGAUUGGGAUGUCCACAGUGCAAGUUGUUCUAAAUUGGACGGACAACUAGACUCCUUCAAGGCAUCUAGAGGAACACAAGUACGCCAUUCGGGGUUGAUUGGAGAAAGCUGUUCGAAAGAGGACAUUCUAUUAUAUCUUUGUACUCUCUGACAAAGGCCAUGCAGCCGAAACGCGUCAGGGUUUUUAAACUUUGUUACCAUUGAACAUGCCAUACAAAUAAAGGCAUUUAAUUCAUUA